CUUUGCAGGACGAACCAUGAAUUACUAAGUCUUGAUAAUAAGGGACAAUUGACCACUUCGGGGAGAAUGAAGUCCAAUGUGUUUAUUUUAAUUAGAAUAUAUUGCCAAAGUUCUGGAACCACUGGUCUUCUCCCUCCUACAUGGCUGUUUGAGAUGGAAUGCCACAGUGAAAAAUAAUUGGUCUUGAAUUUCCUGCUUAAACACUUAAUCUAAAAACUAUGAUCUCAGACAUUUG